GAUGAACGCUGGCGGCGUGCCUAAUACAUGCAAGUCGAGCGAACAGACGAGGAGCUUGCUCCUCUGACGUUAGCGGCGGACGGGUGAGUAACACGUGGAUAACCUACCUAUAAGACUGGGAUAACUUCGGGAAACCGGAGCUAAUACCGGAUAAUAUAUUGAACCGCAUGGUUCAAUAGUGAAAGACGGUUUUGCUGUCACUUAUAGAUGGAUCCGAGCCGCAUUAGCUAGUUGGUAAGGUAACGGCUUACCAAGGCGACGAUGCGUAGCCGACCUGAGAGGGUGAUCGGCCACACUGGAACUGAGACACGGUCCAGACUCCUACGGGAGGCAGCAGUAGGGAAUCUUCCGCAAAGGGCGAAAGCCUGACGGAGCAACGCCGCGUGAGUGAUGAAGGUCUUCGGAUCGUAAAACUCUGUUAUUAGGGAAGAACAAAUGUGUAAGUAACUAUGCACGUCUUGACGGUACCUAAUCAGAAAGCCACGGCUAACUACGUG
rnacentral:rRNA from 1 species